AUGGGGCGGAGGGCACCAGCGGCCCCCAGGCCAGGAACGGGGCACCCCAACCAACAAGCAGCCCCCGAGGGAAAUAAGGGCUGCAGCAAAACACGCUUCCGAGCGACGUUUCCAACUUUGCCCAACUCGCGCCCCAACUCCGGAGGCAGAGCUUGGCUCCCAGGGCGCGCCGCGCCGCCUCCCCGGGCGGCCCCGGGGCGGCCCAGCUUGCUCCCCGCGGCCUGGGCGGCAGCCGAGCGCCCGGCCCGAGCGCCUCGCCCAUCCCUACGGCCCACGUCCCCUCUCCGGUUCGCGCUGCGCCCGGCGCCCCUACCUGCGCGCUCAGCCCCGGGGCGCGGCCACAGCCCGCGCGGGGCCCCAGGUCGCGGUGCUGCGGCUACUGCAGGCGGCGAGCCCCGGUCGGGGCGGGUCCGGCAGGGCGGGCGGUGCAGUCCCCCCGGCGGAGCUGCUCCGAGUGGCCCGGCCCUCGCGCGCGGAGGCGGCUCUUGUAACUCCGGCUCCGGCGGGCGGGUCUGCCCGGAGCCGUGGGGAGAGGGCGGGGCCGGGCGGGGCCGGAGUGGGGCUGGGACCGGCGAGCGGGGCCGACCCGACCGGCCCCAGGAGCGCGCUGCUGCGGGGAGGGCCACGGGGGGUCGCGGGGACCAGGGAGCAGCCUUACCCCGCCCCCUCCAGCGCCCCCUGCCCUGGCCCGCGCCGGGAUCCACCCCCGCAAGGUUUGCAGCGCGCGGUCGCCCGCACAGCAAUGCUCCUCGGAGCCCCCCAAGGAUCGUGCUCCAGCUGGACGCUGCAGAUCAGCUCAUUUUGCCGGAAGGACCAGAGGCUCAGAAGGCGGCUGGGGGGCCCGGGGGGGGGGGGGAUUCCGACGCAACCUCCAGCCGGACGCGGAUCUUUGAGUUUUCUCUCAACCCAGGCGUCUACACUUCAAAUCCCAGGCCCCAGUCCCACUUGGUUCCCAAGCUCCAUGCAGCGGCGCCCAUUCCCCCCCCCACCCGGCUUUCUGACCCCCCGCCCCUCCCCCACAGAGGUCUGAAGACGCCGGCCCCACCCCUGGAGCCAGGGUGCCCACGUGGAGUCACCAGUGCCCCACGCACUAGGUGCUGCUCCGGCCACCGCGGCCACAGGGGAGUCAGGCCGGCAGCCCUCUGCGGGCUCCACCCCUGGGAAGCUGGAGCCCCAGCCUUGCCUCUACCUCCCCAUUUCUUUUUUUUUUUUUUUAAUUUUUAUUUAUUUAUUUAUGAUAGUCACAGAGAGAGAGAGAGAGAGGCAGAGACAUAG
rnacentral:lncRNA from 1 species